rnacentral:rRNA from 1 species
UGGGGAAUAUUGCACAAUGGGCGCAAGCCUGAUGCAGCCAUGCCGCGUGUAUGAAGAAGGCCUUCGGGUUGUAAAGUACUUUCAGCGGGGAGGAAGGUGUUGAGGUUAAUAACCUCAGCAAUUGACGUUACCCGCAGAAGAAGCACCGGCUAACUCCGUGCCAGCAGCCGCGGUAAUACGGAGGGUGCAAGCGUUAAUCGGAAUUACUGGGCGUAAAGCGCACGCAGGCGGUCUGUCAAGUCGGAUGUGAAAUCCCCGGGCUCAACCUGGGAACUGCAUUCGAAACUGGCAGGCUAGAGUCUUGUAGAGGGGGGUAGAAUUCCAGGUGUAGCGGUGAAAUGUGUAGAGAUCUGGAGGAAUACCGGUGGCGAAGGCGGCCCCCUGGACAAAGACUGACGCUCAGGUGCGAAAGCGUGGGGAGCAAACA